CCUGGCCCUAAUACUCCUCCGUAUACAGCAGCCAUGUUUUCAGCUUUGUGGAGAUGCAUUUUUCAGCAGGUUGGCAGUCAGCACCUGCAGCAGCCCUGGUCUUCACGCUACCUGCUGCCAGGUGAUCUCGUCAGUGGCUCUGGCUCGUCACUUUAAAGAGCUACUUCUCAGUGUUAUUUGUGCUUUCUCUCAGAUCUGACUUUUCGUUGCCGGCUUCCAGUGACCCGGCUCUCUGCACCUCUGCAGCCAACAGUCUCGCCCUGUGCUCACCUGAGCGCCACACGCCACGCUAUCCACCAGCACCACCAUGAGCUCCCUCUCCUGCUCCUCCUCCCUCCUCUCUGACGGAGUCUCCAGCCUGACUUUCUCCACCUUCACCUGCAUUAACCUUGUGAAGUUAAAUAAACCUGUUUGCCUCGUUGUCCGCUUCUGGUUCCUGCCAAAAACCACAGCAACAACAAACUGAUUAGAAAUGACAAAUAUAAUUCAGUUAUUUAUCAGCUUAAAAAGAGCUGUUAUCAUUUUAAAUAUUUUUAUUAUUUCAUCAAUUGUAAUUCAAAAUAAACAUUAUUACACAAUA